GGAAAGGUGGCUGAGUGGUCUAAAGCGACGAUUUCGAAAAUCGUUAUAAAAUAUUUUUAUCAGGGGUUCAAAUCCCCUCCUUUCCG
rnacentral:tRNA from 1 species